UGCAACAGAGUGUACAGAUUUCAGGAGCUAAGGCAAAAGAGAAUGUUGCCAGAAGAUCAAAUCGAAACACAGUCCUCAGAACACUGCUAGCAAGAGAGAGACUCCAGUGGAUUUCCACAGCAGAAGAGUGAAAUUAAAGUCAAGAGCAAUGAGCACGUGUGAUCAGAGCUGGGUCUCUUGAAGGAUCAGACUUCCUUUGCCAUUUCUAGGACAACAGUUGAAUUCAGUAACAUAUGAAUAUACCAUUCAGAAAGGAACUUGACAGAGAGGUCAGAAGAUGCAGUUAUUUUCCCUGCUUCAGUCCAUAACAGCACAAGCAUCUGGCAGAGCUGAGAGCCAGCUACAGGACACUGUGAAAUCACAGGUCACAAGAGGCCCCCUAGGGCAAUCAGUCCUUCUCAGGGCUGCUAGAGAAGCCCAUCACUGUGUAUUUUCCAAAGGUAUAUUUAACCCAAUUCUGAAAGAGGUCAACAGUAAACCAACCCAUCACUCCUUGCUGUCAACUGAUUACCUAUCAGCCAAAUGUCACAGGCUGCACCUGUAUCUCCUCACCUCAGUGAAGGCUCACUGCUUGCAAAACCACUAACUGGAUCGCAUUCCUCCUCCACAAUGAGGUCACAGGAUUUUAUAAGACAGAGGAAGGUUUAAGGUUAACCAGGCUCUUGCAGAAGAUUACAAAUAAUGAGAUGAGGCAGGCCAGUGAAAAGACACUCUGGCCUCCUACAAGUGAGGGACAUUGAAGAUCAGGCUCCUGCAUGGGUGGCUGGGAAUACCCCACUGAAGACAAGGAGACCCCAGUGUGGGGAUGAACGGGCUCACACUGCGGGUUCUCUCCUGCACAGCUCUCAGAGCCAUCUGCUCUGAAUUAGGUGGGAUUAAAGGCACAGCAUGGGCAAAUCCCUUCUGUCUGUUUGUGCAAUACAGGUUUAUCCUAUGUGAAAUAAGGCUUAGAGGCAAGGGCUGCCUUUCUCACAUGCAAGGGAAGGUAGUUAACAACAAGAGCUUCUAAAGCCAGGUAAAAGAACACAACCCUGUAAGUGAGAGAUGGCAUACUGGCAGGUCUUUGUUUUGAUAGCCU
rnacentral:lncRNA from 7 species